UUUUUUAAAUAAAAUUAUUCACGACAUAUGAGUGGGCAGACAAUGGAAGUCGACAGACCUGGUGAUAAUUGCUUCUAUAGAAAGUUAGCACAUGGCAGUGUCAAUCUCUUGCUUUUCUUCUGAGUAGUAUUUUAUUUAGUUGUAAUUCAAUCAAUAAUUUGCUUCUUGAAAUUAAGUAAUGAAUUUCUUGUUUUAUUUUAUAAAUCUCAGAUCCUGCCUUUACCUGCUCCCUCCUAUACUGAUGUGGUGUAUGUGGUACUGCUGAGCUUGUAUGUGAUCUGAACCAUUGUAAAGGUUGCAGUUCAAGGGCCUGAGGUGGAAGCAGAAUUUGUGAGGAUUACUACUGCUCCACUUGUUCCAAGGCUUUUUGCACAACUUGACCAAUACACUGACCAGCUCAUAAAAGUCUUCAAGAAAAAAGGAGGUGCUGCAGUGAAGAAAAUUAGACAAACUUUGGCUCCAGCCACAAAGAAGGAAACUAUUGAAAACGGGAGGGAGUGUGUCCUCAGGGCACUACCUUUUUACCUGAAUGAAGACCCAAGCAUCCUCUUCAAAGAAUAAUUGCUACAGCUACAGCUGUUCAGAGGGAGCUGGAACAAAUUACCCUUGCUAUCUUCACCAUUGAAAAAGCUGAUGUCAGCACUCCUCCAGCCGAUGUGGGUAUAAC